ACGGGUUUACCCCCGCAUCGAGCCUAGUGGUCCUUACCAAGCAUCAUUUAUAUGAGCUGCUCGAAUAACACUAAACACAAUCCUGGGUAAAC
rnacentral:ncRNA from 18 species